AUGGGAACAGCAUCAUAACAAAAGCAAGCGCCCAGAAGCAGGCAGGGCAGUGGUGGGUGUUUGCUGCUGGGACUGCCACAUUCCCACCCACACACUCACCCACUCACAAGGGGAUGAAACAGCCUGUAAGUGCCAGGCAAAGCAAAAGGUUUACACGUGGAGCAGAGACAUCCAAACACUCCAUAUCAGUUGUGCUUGUACCACGUGCUCUUCGAACUGUAAAAGUUACAGCAGGAAAAAUGAGAAUGAUCCCAGGUUCCCAAGUCCUGACAGCUGGAGAUGCCAGAUUACACCCAUUCCUUCAAUUGCCUGCCAGAAACUUCUUCUUCAAAGAAUCAUAGAAUCAUUAAUGUUGAAAAAGACCACUAAGAUUAUCAGUUCCAAUCAUCAAUCCGUCACCACAACCACGUUCACUAAACCAGGUCCCUCAGUGCCACAAACCAGCACAGAUCACAGGCAAUUUAACUCCAAACAACUAAUUUCCAAGAAAAUAGUCACAGAACACUUUUCCCUGCACCCCAUAUAGGUUUCAUAAUCUCACUAUGCAUCUAAAGCAGCAAAACAUAGUGCAGACAAUGGGCAGCACACAACAGACCUCAAGAGCAACGACACUGUAGCUGCCAGCUGAUGUGACAUCUGUCAUGGCCUCCUUGCUGGCACCUUUGCUUCAAGCACCCUUUAGAGCUGCAGCACUGCUUGGUGAUCCCUCUCCUCUUGGCCAACAGCAAUGACUUUUAGCUGCCUCAUUUAGGUUGCCUUCAC
rnacentral:lncRNA from 1 species